UACGGGGGGGGGCAAGCGUUGUUCGGAAUUACUGGGCGUAAGGGGCUCGUAGGCGGCCAACUAAGUCAGACGUGAAAUCCCUCGGCUUAACCGGGGAACUGCAUCUGAUACUGGAUGGCUUGAGUUCGGGAGAGGGAUGCGGAAUUCCAGGUGUAGCGGUGAAAUGCGUAGAUAUCUGGAGGAACACCGGUGGCGAAGGCGGCAUCCUGGACCGACACUGACGCUGAGGAGCGAAAGCCAGGGGAGCAAACGGG
rnacentral:rRNA from 1 species